CCUACGGGGGGCAGCAGUGAGGAAUAUUGGUCAAUGGGCGUAAGCCUGAACCAGCCAAGUCGCGUGAGGGAUGAAGGUUCUAUGGAUCGUAAACCUCUUUUAUAAGGGAAUAAAGUGUGUGACGUGUCCUGUUUUGUAUGUACCUUAUGAAUAAGGAUCGGCUAACUCCGUGCCAGCAGCCGCGGUAAUACGGAGGAUCCGAGCGUUAUCCGGAUUUAUUGGGUGUAAAGGGUGCGUAGGCGGCCUUGUAAGUCAGCGGUGAAAGUCUGUGGCUCAACCAUAGAAUUGCCGUUGAAACUGGGAGGCUUGAGUAUGUUUGAGGCAGGCGGAAUGCGUGGUGUAGCGGUGAAAUGCUUAGAUAUCGCGCAGAACCCCGAUUGCGAAGGCAGCCUGCCAAGCCAUGACUGACGCUGAUGCACGAAAGCGUGGGGAUCAAACAGGAUUAGAUACCCGUGUAGUC
rnacentral:rRNA from 1 species